rfam:Nematostella vectensis strain CH2 x CH6 NEMVEscaffold_322_Cont23763, whole genome shotgun sequence.
GGUCCCAUGGUGUAAUGGUUAGCACUCUGGACUUGUAAAUCCAGCGAUCCGAAUUCUAAUCUCGGUGGGACCU